GACGAACGCUGGCGGCGUGCUUAACACAUGCAAGUCGAACGGAAAGGCCCUUCUUUUGUGGGGUACUCUAGUGGCGAACGGGUUAGUAACACGUUAGUCACCUGCCCUUGACUUUGUGAUAACUUCAGGAAACUGGUGCUAAUACCUGAUAGGAGCUCCUGCUGCAUGGUGGGGGUUGGAAAUUUUCGGCGGUUGGGGAUGGACUCUCGGCUUAUCAGCUUGUUGGUGGGGUCGUGGCGUACCAAGGCUUUGACGGGUAGCCGGCCUGAGAGGGUGACCGGGCACAGUGGGACAGGGGUAGGACCAAGAGUGAUAAGGGAGGAAGCAGUGGGGAAUAGUGCAAGAUGGGCGGAAGCCUGAAGCAGCAACGCCGCGUGCGGGAUGACGGCCGUCGGGAUGUAAACCGCUUUAGCCUGUGACGAAGCGGGAGUGACGGUAAUGGGUAAAGAAGCACCGGCUAACUACGUG
rnacentral:rRNA from 1 species